UUAUAUGAUUCAUCACCACUUUUCCCUCUCGAACCCUAGACCAGGAAGCCGCCGGAAGUCUGGUCUGCUCGUUUCAACGGCACAGCACACCCGUUCAAAGCAGUGCCCCGGUUAAUAAUGAUCGAUAACUUGCGCGUCCGAUGCAUGAUGGACGAUCAUCGGGGGCCGAUCAACACUGACCAGGCAGUGGCAGUGGCUGCACCCGGGUAAAUCGAUCCACUCGUGUCUGGACUUUGGGCGGCUUCCACUUUGAAGGAAGGGGAGGAAACUUCAAAGCCGGAGGCCCCUUAAGCGAUCCGGGAAUUACCAUAAUUUUCAACGGCUGGAAAGGAUCAAACAGGUUCCUCAGGGGAGAGCGAGAGAAGAAGUGUGCAGAAAGCACGAAAGAAGAAGGUGAGAAGCGCGUAUACACAUGCUCAAGGAAAGGUGAUACAUCACCAAGUAGGCUGAGUGUGAUGAGUGGUUGCUAUGGGCAACUUCCUGACAGCAGGAGUUAGGAGAAUAGCUUCACGUAUUCUUGAUCGAUCAAAUCGAACGAUCGAGUGGACGUGAUCAAAGGGAUAGUGAAGAAAUUAAUCCAUCACUCCUGGAUGGACAGGAUCACACAGAAAGGACACACAACAACAACACCAUGUCGGAGUGUUUGCUUUCGCUCUCGCAAUGGAAAAGGUCUCAGAAAAUGGGUGUUAUUGGAUAAACAUGUACCUCUUCAACGAGGCCAAUCGAAUGGCGCGCACCUUCCAGGGGUGCGGGCCGCUGUCUCUGCCACACAAACGAAUCGGGUUCGAUUGAUCCAAAGUGGAAGCUUUGGCAACAAAUAAAAACACCACCCAAGGGCCUGAUCGUGACUGCUUGAGCUGGCGUUAGACUUUCCCAGGCACCACACACUGUAGACUUUACGAUCCACGGGUAAAGGCCCCCCUUUAGGGGUAUACCACUCGCUCCCCCCACUAACGGUACCACUUUCUCUGGCAAAGACGACGACCACGAUGAUGAUGAUGAUGAAUUCCUGUCAAUGGUUCAAGAGGCGCAUGCAAAGUAGCUCUCCUGCAUCGCUGAUUAAAGACAGCACAGGCCAGUUAGCGUUAUGCCAUCGCUCCGAGGGGUCAAUCGAAUCGAAUCGUUGGCCCUUUCGUUGCCCUUUUCGCUAUGUUACCAAGAGCACCAAGAAGCUGACGGUACCAGCAGCAGCAGCUGCUGCUACAGCCGCGACCGUUAGAUGCCUUCUGACCCGGAGCAUACUGAGGGGUCGGCAUAGAAUCUAUGAUCGCUUCGAGCCACGGCUGAUCUACUGGAGAAAGAGCUGGAUGUGUUUAAAUUUUCCUCCAACACGCGAUUAUCUUGAGGGGGAGGGGGGAAGGGAGGAAUUCUAGUUUGCCCUUUUUCCAUUCCAGAGAUCACCACCCCAGUGCCACGAGCGACCGCUUUAAUGACUUUAUCAUCCAGUUUGCGUCGGGUUGAAAUUGAAGACACGCGAGCCUGAUGCACCCGUAAAACCCCUGUGGGAUGCUGUUCAAACAUGUCUUCAAAUAAAUCUUUACUUCAGAUUUCAGAACGCACACACACACACAAAUCCUAACCUCGUAAAAUUAUACAACUUCCUGUCCGAUUUAACGCCCAGCAAUAUGGUUAAGUUUGAUGUGAAAUAUGUGUUUAACACAAAAAACCCUGAAGAAACCCAUGUUCUGCUUGUAAAAAAAAACAAGAACUCAAUGGGUUGGCUUUGUGUGCCGUUCCACUGUUUCAGUGCCGAUAGUUGGCACGGAUUAGUAUCGGAUUGCGUACAACCGACCACCGACCACCGGGCAGCUGACCCCCGGUUGCAAAAGGAUUUGCAAAAUUUAUGCGAUGCACGCCCACCGAUACCGCCCUGAACUGAAAAUAAAAAGCCCGCAUACGGACACAGAAAUAGGUAGAAAAUAAAACUAGAAAACAAGCACUCCUAACGUACAAACGAGCUUACGAUGGGAAUCGAAACACGUUCAAAUUUCGGAACACGGAGAGGAAGUCGAGCUCAAAAUUUUGGGCCGGGAAAUCGAUACCUCCGUUCCUUGCCUUCGGGCGAUGCAGCAAGCACGAUCUUCUCUGGGAACAAGUUAAAGUUAUGCCUGACCGACAUAUCUUGCAGGUGUAUCAAGUUCGGGAUGUGUGUGUGUGGUGUUUAAGCCUUACGUGCAAUCUACGUGCCCACCAACUGUACUGCAAGUGGCUGUGGAAUCCGGACGGCAUUGCAGUCUCGCCCGGGAACAAGCCCAUACUUCCAAAACUCCGCCAUCAUUACCGUCGAUCGGUUCUAAUGAUGGACCCUGGGCGCGAGCGCGCGCCCUCGGCCCAACACCCUGAAAUUCCCAGGAAAGUAAUCAGACAGCGUGAAUAAUUCAAAAAUCUAUCUUCCGCUGCACCGUCCGAGAGUACUCCAGCACCAAGGUUCUCGCUGCGUUCUUUUGCUGGCUUCUUUCCAUGAUAAUGCUUCAUUAUUGCUGCUCGGCGUUUAGAUAUGCCCGUGGCCCGUAGUUCUGGGGCGGUCUUGAACCGUUUCCAAAGUGGCCGCGGCGGUAAGGAUCAUUUGAGGGAAAUUAAGGAUAACACACACACUUUUCAAUCGCAGACACCCAUCAAAUUACUCGGCACACUUGUGACCAAAGAAGCAGGCAUAGCAACCGUUACCAAGUCGCGCCCGAAAAGUGCUGUGUGCGUGUGUGUGCUCUCCUCCGCGCAGGUAGCAAGAAGGCAAAACCAAGUCCAACAAAGUCCAAGCGCAGUGUGCCGUGUCCUGGUGAGACAUCAGUCAACCGUCCAUCCAUCCAUCCAUCCAUUCCCUAUGGCGCACGUAACAAGUGUUUACAGUCCUCCAGCAGUACCGGGGCAACGUUAAGAAGUCGGCAAAGGCAAAGGCCACGAAAACACGCCAAGGAAUGCCCGGCCCGGGCAGGAGGAAGUCGCCUUUUGGUUACGCGCCACGGUUUUCCAGGUUCGUAAGCAAGAAGAGCAUGCUGAAAAAAGGAGCAGGGCUUCAAGAGAUAAAUGUCGGCAAAAGGGCGCACGGGGAAUUGGAAGUAAUUGAACCAGACGAAGGUCGUAGUGGGUGAGUCAGAUGGGGAAUACACACAAAAACAAAAAACAAGACAAGAACGAACGCAUCAGAUCGCCCAAAGAACUGGGAUGAUGUCUUGGAGAUGACCCAGAGCAGCAUACAACAGCGUGAACCAGCUUCUUGGGCGAGAGGACUGCUCCUACGGUACACGAACCGAUAAUUGGGCAGAGUUCUGAACGAAACGCAUCGAAACGGUCGAAAAGCUGUACCCGCUUUCCGUCUCGUUACUGACGUGAUAUCCCAACCGAAGCGAUGGCUACAACCCCAAGCAAAAGGGGAUAACGGUUCUCUCGGACGAAGCGCAAAUUGAUCUUUGCCAACUUUGCCUUAUGACCGAUUAGCGUCAACCGUUUGGCACAAAUGAGCUGGCAAUGGGGAUUGUGGUUGCCCGUAAGCCCACUACCACAAUCCCCAUUGCCAGCUGUCACAUGUGAACAUCCAGUGCUACCGGACAGCAGCGUCAGCCAUUGAGAAAUUGGCCAUUUGGAGUAUUAUGUUGUGUUUUCAGCUUGUUACUUUCCCAUACAUCCCUCGCUAUCGCUCGAUCAAAAGAAGAAACCGGGAUUUAAUGGUCCAUCAAAGGCGGAAGUACUACGCGGGUGGGAUGCUUCAUAAAACGGAGCAAAACGACCCUACUCGUUUUAAAACGAGUCAUCACUUUUAUUGCAACUUUCACGAACGCCAGCCCAUCAUUCCGAUUAUCCAAAAGGGCACUUUACAGCGAUCAAACAUAUAUCAGACACACCCACCGAGCGAGAAGCAUUUCAUAAACGGAUAUGUCACUUUUAUGAUGCCCUUGUGUUUCACCAUCACCUUUACUCUGGAGCUGUAGUACCUUGUUGACAACUCAAUAUGAAAACAUCUUCUUCUUCCGCCUCUUCUUCAAACUUCUUCUAUAAAUUGCGCAGGCGGCAGAAGAAGCAAGCGCGUAUCUUACGCUUUCUAAAUAAUUUAUCAAUUGACAUUCGGCUUGACACUAUACUUACGGCCCCACGGAUAGGUCGACAUGGAGAGGAGGGAGCACACCUCUUGGGCCACUAUUCGGAACGCCGAAUCGAUUUUAAUGCGCCAACAUCACCUUCACGCCGACUUUAAACGGCCUGCUGCCCUCCCUUGGGAGGGUGUGAUGUCAUCCGCGCAUAUUAACGGUGACGAAUUAGUGUCAUCUUGAUGCUUCGAGCGAAACUAGAACAACUAGGUGAGGCAACCGCCAAAAACUGGUGCGAGCGCGCGCGUGUUUGAGUUCUAUUUUUGGGAGCCAUCUAUUCCGGCAACGAAUUUCUUGGAGAAAAAAGACGAAACAUGAUUUCCUCCCCUCCCGACUAUCGUGGCUCAUCGCACACUGAUUGGUUUUAUGCAAAGUGUGUGCCAAACGGUCGUUUAAUUAUUGGUACAGCUUGGUAAGCCAACUCUCAGUCCCUGCACGAACACGAUUCGAUCAUGUACACGUGUCUGUGGCAGUUUGUGCGUGUCUGUGUGUGUGGCCACAUCUAAAAACAUGCCAUCUAACCUUGCCCUAUCUCAAAGCUGGCGAUGAGUACACGACCAAACCCUCUGCUGCUUCCGAGUGCCCUCCGGCGGGUAUAAUCUUCCACCAAGGAAAUCCAAUCUUGUGUUGUGUGUCGUCGUAGCCGCUUGUUCCGCGUUCCCCUUUCUUGCCAUCUUCUCCGAUGGGGCUUGGGGUAUUAAUAAGCUUGGCUUACCGAUACCAAUUGAUCCAGCAUUGACGACAGGUCGGAGAAGCAGGAAGCCGCACCAUCAUCAUCCUCAUCAGAGGGUUCCUUCCAACUUCCAAGAUGUGUGGUGUCGUACACGUUACGUUCGUCGCCGCUCAGGGGAGUUUGUUAUUUGCUUUUCAUCCCUCAAUCCAUUCCGUGUUGAGAUAGAUCAUCAUCUUCUGUCAUCAUCAUUAUCUGCCCUCGGGUGGGAAGCUGGGACACGUCACCGAACCUAAAACGGUGGUUCUCGUAUUACAAAAAAGAAAAGUAAAUACUCUUCACACUGUGUGUCCAUUUUCAACAUUUUGAGUUGAUUGAGAAGUUUUUCCUACGUACGUAGCUAUCAGCUAUCACAACACAUUGACACACACACACACACGGCAGCAAGUUAAUUUAAGUUUUUUGCUCUCACCUCUGCACUCACACGACCACCAUUCCAUUCCGUGAAGGUGAAAAACUUUUGCCCCAUAAAUGAACCGUUUAUGGGGUGGAAAAGUUUGGCUGCGCUCGUUUCGAUUUUCCAAUUUUUUGAACACAUUUCAGAGACAGAGAGCACUGCCCCUGGGAUGAUGGCAUUCUUCUACGCCACGUGUUUUUGUUGUCGAGGAUGAGCAUACGGAGCAUAAACCGUCCGGAAUGCCGUCCGGAGUUUGGGAAUGCCGUUCGACAGAUGGCCUUAAUUUAGCUCACCUCAACCCAGCACAGCACGAGCGAGCGUGUUGUCACAGCGUGCUCGGCGCAUUGCCUACUGUGCUGUCGGGUCAUUCGCGCAAAAACACACGCAUUUUCCGCCAACGUCAUUGACUUUAUUCCAUUUCAUUCCAUUCGCUCUCAGUCCUGCUCAGUGCCUCCUUGGACCGGGCUCCAUCCGAAGAUGGUUGCUGUUGGCGUGUCGUGUCGUGCGCUGCGUGUUUGCGCAAAAACAAUAUUAGAAUAUUUUCGAUGAAGGUGAAUAUUAUCUACCAAAACUGAGAGACAAAAACACUCGCCGGGAUGCUUGCCACCAUCGGGGAGGACGGGUCAUUGACGGGUGGGAGAAAAAACUUUCCAUUUCGUUGGCAUUAGAUUGUUAGAAUUAAGAGGGAAAGAGAGAGAAAGAGAGGUAGCCAGGAGAAAGCACAGGUGGGAGCGUACUUUCGCCUUUCGGUUGCCAAACAUAAACGAGGUGUUACGAAAUGUUAAUUUGGCAGCAACGGACCGAACUUUCCGCCAUUGCCACAGCAUCUAAAGAUCCACAACCAUUAAGGGGGUGGAAAAAAUAAAACGAAACUUUUUUGGUGACAAUGUUUGGCAACGGAUAAUACCAUCGAUGGAAUUGCUGCGGUUUUGCUUCUGUUUUCUAUUCGUUGAGCCAAAUCCUGUUUCACGCUGGAUGUUAUUAGUUUGCGGAGUGGUUAUUAUUCGUUCACUCGCAAAGCAUUUUUAUUUCGUUCUUUUAAUGACAUUUUUGUUAUUUAGGUUGUUAAAUAUGAAAAAAAUAUGAUCAAGUUUAGUUUUAGAUUGAACGAGAAAAAAAAAAUCAUUCAUUAAACAAAGAAAAACCAACCUAAGCAUGCGCCUCAAAGCCUCAAAACCAAAAUGCGCCUCAAAGUAUGCAAUAGGCGGUACAAAAUCCCAAUUUUAAUGCUUUUUCUACUGUUAUGUUAUUUGUGUGGGGGAAUGUAUUCAAAGAACUUUACAAAUAAUGAAAUUACUGCCAUAUUUUGAGUUAUUACUUAAAACUCAACAAUAAACUUACUUUUGCUAUCACAAACAUUUGUAAAGCAUAAAUUAUGCUUAUGCUGAUCGCAUUUCCACAUCCCCUUUUUACCGACAGUGUCUGUCCUCUGCAUGAGUCUUAGUACAUGUUUUGCAAGUGUAAUGUAACACCAAAACCCAAACAAAGUCAUCAUACUACUGUCACCAUUUUCCCAGCCAUUCAAGAUCAUCACAAGAAGAAAGAACUAUCUCAACCCAGACCCGCCAGACAACUCCGCCCAACCCAGCAGAAUAGUAAAUUAAUUUCCCAACCACAAACUCGGCGCGGUUUUGUGUACUUGGGGGGAGGGGGGGGGGUGGAAAGAAAUGAAUAAUUUCUCCACGCGAGCGGAUAGUAAAUGACAAAAAUCGUGGCACAUCAACGAGAAGAAGGGCAAAACCACCACUACAAAAACAGAUGGAAACGGAAGCGUAACACCGUCUGGCACCGUCUGUUCGGUCUGGUUCGACCGAAGAACUCGGCAAACACGAAACAAGAUCAAGGUGUCUUCUCACGUUUGUUGGUUGGUUUUGGUUUGGUUUGGUGAUGUGUGAGAAAUGUUGUUAUUUAUUUACACCAUGAAGAGAUGCAACGGUACCGGUUCAUCACACACCGUUCAUUGACACGGUGUCUUGGUUGCCAGCAGUGUGGUUUAAAGAACUCUUUUUUGCAAUUGCAAUUUAAAGACAGUUUCUGGAUACUUUAAGUCGUUACCAAGAAGCACGUCCCUUCCUUGGCAUAGCAUCGGUGAAGCCAAACCUUGCUCUCUGGCACGGAAAAAAAACGGAUCCAAAGGAUUGGCCCUAACCUUCCACCCCGUUGCAUUCGCUCCUAACCUUACAACCCGCCAGCGAGCAAGCCAGCAAGGUUAACCGGUGUGAUCGCAUCACCACACAAAAAAGAAACACACACGAAGGAAACCUUAUGUUGCCUCGUUCUUCUUCGCCUUCGAUACGAUGAGUCAUGGGUCAUUGUUACAGCGGCAUCUUGCAGCAUGGCGAUCAUCGAGCGAGCGCGCGCCCCGUGAAUAUUAAGUGCAGAAAAGCACCCAUAAAGCUCGUAAUAUGUUUUACGACGCAUACGACGACGUCCUCCCGCGUCCCUUUUGACAGGGUCGGUCGCCCAGAGUGAACCAAUGCAUCGAUGGCAGCGCGUUGGACGGGGUGGUUCUGGUGCAUCGUUCUGUCUGCCGGCCGCCGCACGCUAGAUGAAUUUACUGUCGGAUGGGAGCAUCAUCAUCAUCAUCAUCGUUCGUGUGUCCGCCGCCGGCUGAGGAGCGAAAAACCGCUCAAACCCAUUUGCGCACGGCAAAGAGCGGAGUUUGCGUGACAAGUUUGAGUAAAACAAACGAUAACAGCCCUCCCCGGGUUGGGUGGGGGAGAGAGGAAGGGACAGCGAAGGGAUAAAAGUAUAGUUCGCUUUCUAUGUAAUGGCAGCAAUUGCUUGCAAUUGCUAGUGGAAGGAAAGUAAUGUAGCCGAUAGCUUCUGCGAAUGCAUUAAAAACCUUGCGCACCACAAUGAAGUUUGCUGCAAAAUUGAUGGCUCUUCUUUCCGGUAGUAAAACAAAACAGCACAUAAAAUUGUUUCGUUUUGUUGUGUUUGAUUGGUGUACACACACACACACACACACACACACACACACACACACACACACACACACACACACACACACACACACACACACACACACACACACACACACACACACACACACACACACACACACACACACACACACACACACACACACACACACACACAAAA